rnacentral:rRNA from 1 species
UACGUAGGGUGCAAGCGUUGUCCGGAAUUAUUGGGCGUAAGAGCUCGUAGGCGGUCUGUUGCGUCGGCUGUGAAAACCCGGGGCUCAACCCCGGGCCUGCAGCCGAUACGGGCAGACUAGAGUUCGGCAGGGGAGACUGGAAUUCCUGGUGUAGCGGUGAAAUGCGCAGAUAUCAGGAGGAACACCGGUGGCGAAGGCGGGUCUCUGGGCCGAUACUGACGCUGAGGAGCGAAAGCGUGGGGAGCGAACAGG